UAGAUCUUUCGUGUAACUUUUAAGGCACCUAAGUCAUGUACAAUGCAAAAGAUGCUAGGCGAGAAUACUUAUAAAGUACAAUGCAUGGAAUAAGGAUAGAUAGAAGUGAAAUUGGAGUAUUAUUAAAUAAAUAAUGAAUUCCAAAUAUGUUACAUCAUGUCAUACUUUUAAGGGCUCUAUCCUAACAUCUAGAUUGAUUCUUAUUAGUGCAAAAAGCUCCAAAG
rnacentral:lncRNA from 1 species